rnacentral:rRNA from 1 species
UCCAGACUCCUACGGGAGGCAGCAGUGAGGAAUAUUGGUCAAUGGCCGAGAGGCUGAACCAGCCAAGUCGCGUGAGGGAGGACGGCCCUACGGGUUGUAAACCUCUUUUGUCGGGGAGCAAGGGACAGGUCGUGACCUGUUGUGAGAGUACCUGAAGAAAAAGCAUCGGCUAACUCCGUGCCAGCAGCCGCGGUAAUACGGAGGAUGCGAGCGUUAUCCGGAUUUAUUGGGUUUAAAGGGUGCGCAGGCGGAGCCACAAGUCGGGGGUAAAUUCGCGGGGCUCAGCCCCGCUCCGCCGUUGAAACUGUGUCCCUUGAGUGCGCGAAGGGUAGGCGGAAUGCGUGGUGUAGCGGUGAAAUGCAUAGAUAUCAGGAGGAACACCGGUGGCGAAGGCGGCCUGCUGGACUGCAACUGACGUUGAGGCCCGAAAGCGUGGGGAGCAAACAGGAUUAGAUACCCGCAUA